rnacentral:rRNA from 1 species
CGGACCGGCGCACGGGUGAGUAACGCGUAUGCAACUUGCCUAUCAGGAGGGGGAGUAACCCGGCGAAAGUCGGACUAAUACCGCAUGAAGCAGGGGCCCCGCAUGGGGAUAUUUGCUAAAGAUUCAUCGCUGAUAGAUAGGCAUGCGUUCCAUUAGGCAGUUGGCGGGGUAACGGCCCACCAAACCGACGAUGGAUAGGGGUUCUGAGAGGAAGGUCCCCCACAUUGGUACUGAGACACGGACCAAACUCCUACGGGAGGCAGCAG